rnacentral:rRNA from 1 species
AAUAGAUACCCCGGUAGUCCACGCCGUAAACGAUGGAUACUAGCUGUUGGGCGCAAGUUCAGUGGCUAAGCGAAAGUGAUAAGUAUCCCACCUGGGGAGUACGUUCGCAAGAAUGAAACUCAAAGGAAUUGACGGGGGCCUGCACAAGCGGUGGAGCAUGUGGUUUAAUUCGAUGAUACGCGAGGAACCUUACCAAGGCUUAAAUGUAGAUUGACCGGUUUGGAAACAGAUCUUUCGCAAGACAAUUUACAAGGUGCUGCAUGGUUGUCGUCAGCUCGUGCCGUGAGGUGUCAGGUUAAGUCCUAUAACGAGCGCAACCCCUGUUGUUAGUUGCCAGCGAGUCAAGUCGGGAACUCUAACAAGACUGCCAGUGCAAACUGUGAGGAAGGUGGGGAUGACGUCAAAUCAUCACGGCCCUUACGCCUUGGGCUACACACGUGCUACAAUGGCCGGUACAGAGAGCAGCCACUGGGUGACCAGGGGCGAAUCUAUAAAACCGGUCACAGUUCGGAUCGGAGUCUGCAACUCGACUCC